UUGUCCUGGCCUAUGCUUUCCUCGCUGCCCUGCGCUCAGCUGCAGCAGGGUGGGGGGCUGGCAGGACACCCACAGUCUCCCUCAGCUUACAAGGGCUGUCCCGAGUACAGGGCUGGCUCUUAAAGGCACAAGAGGACAGU